CAGGAAAUAUUGCUGGACUGACCUUGAUAGGAGAUGCUUGGGAGAAUUGCCCAAAAAACUAGCUUAAAAUGCAAAUAUUGGCCUUCUUUUGCGUUGGCUAAAGAGUAGCAUUUCUCCGUUUGCCUCCCGGGUAAGAAAUUGAUGGCGAAUGCAAUGUCUCUAGGGAGGAGAAGAAGGUGACAAAAAGGGUCUGUAUAACGGGG
rnacentral:lncRNA from 1 species